UUGAAAGUGCUAUUUGUUUGGAAAAAAAUGUAGUAUAAUCACGAAUUUAGAUUGCUAAUCAGACAAAACACAACACCUUUGACUGAAGUGAAGGAGCUCCUGUUGGGAUCAUGGAAAUUAUGUUGGUGUUAUUGAAGCAAUUUGUAGACUGUGUAGAGAAAAACUAUUUGGAAAUAACAGUAUUGAGCAUGUUGAGGAGGAGAACACUAUUGAGACAAAUACAAUGAUCAAGAUUGCAGAAGCUGAAAUACUACCACCUUAAAGAAAGAGGGCACUUGAUAAAGUACCAGGGAAGCGUUACAGGGUGAAGGUUGUUGACACAAUUCUUGAUUUAGAUGUAACCAAGAAUAAGGAAACAAUAACCAAUAUUACAAGUUUUUACAACUUUAGAUUUGAGAGCAGUCAUUUGAGGAUGUGGCAGACAUACAAUAUUGAUGAAGGAAAGCUUGUGACUUAAAAAUCAACAAAGAAUUCUGUGCAGUUAAAAGUACUCAAUGACUGGACAGAGAUGUCUUUUAAUGACCUCAUUACUGAAGGAACAGAACAGGCUUCAAAACAACAGAAGCAGACAUUCAUUUGUUCGAUGGAUGGUUGCAUUCAAGAGUUCAAGAACCAGAUUAGUCUUGAUCAACACCUCCUUCAAGUCAGCUGUGAAUAUAAGCUAGAGAAAGGCCCAUCAAAAGAUCAGGCAAAAGUUCUAUAUGCCCAAAAGCUGUCAAAUAAUGUACAUCAUUGUCCUGAUAUGCAAGCAGUCUUACUAGAAAAUGCAUGUACUACAGACUUGAGUGCCAAAGAAAUGUGAUGGGCAUUGAAAGUGAAAAAGAAAAAGAUUUUCUUUAGCAUCAAACAGAAAGAAUUCAUGACGGAUUUAUUUUAUUUAUCUUGAAAGGAUGCAAAAAGCAGCCAUAUUGGAUUCAACGACAUUAUAUUUUCCCAAUAAAUAGGCAAAAUAGAAAAAAAAAACGCCUACCUUAAACUACUUUUUAAUAGCUUAUAUCCAAAUUUGAAGCGUAAACAAAGCCCCAAAACAUACUAUGUUACUGUUUUACACUUGAAGUAUUCAUAUGACGUCAUGAUGUUGCUAUGAAGUUUAUGUGCCAAAGAAGUCAACAACAUUUUGUGGAAUUUUUAUUUUAAGCAACUAUAUGUCCAAAUAAAAAACAGAAACAAUAUCUUUAUUGACUAUUGCAUUAGAAUGGAUAUAACUGUAUUUUAUUUUAAGGUUUGUGGACGUAAAUCUAGAUUUUACUGUUGCAAUUAUUCGUUUACCUAGCUCUGCUACAGGUCGCUAGGUUAACUCAAUUUGCGACAGUAAUAUCUACGUUUUAUGUCCGAAAAGGUUAAAAUACAAUACAGUUAUCUCCGAAAUUACCUACACAUGAUUGCACCAAUAUGAGUUUAAUAUAAUGAAAUUUGCAUGUACUUAGAAGGUGUUUUACUUUAUUUUAAAUAUUUAAGUCGGACCAUCAUUUUACCCACACUGCUUUAUAAAUAGCAAACUUUGUUGAUCUGUAUCAGUUAAAAACUAAUAUGAACAAUCAGUUCUUUCUUCCCUCUGUAUUCAAUAACAAAAUUAAAUCUUUAAAAAUGUAAAGA